rnacentral:rRNA from 1 species
GGCUCAGAUUGAACGCUGGCGGCAUGCUUUACACAUGCAAGUCGAACGGUAACAGGCCUUCGGGUGCUGACGAGUGGCGAACGGGUGAGUAAUGCAUCGGAACGUGCCCAGAGUGGGGGAUAACGCAGCGAAAGCUGUGCUAAUACCGCAUACGAUCUAUGGAUGAAAGCGGGGGAUCGCAAGACCUCGCGCGAUUGGAGCGGCCGAUGUCAGAUUAGCUAGUUGGUGGGGUAAAGGCCCACCAAGGCGACGAUCUGUAGCUGGUCUGAGAGGACGACCAGCCACACUGGGACUGAGACACGGCCCAGACUCCUACGGGAGGCAGCAGUGGGGAAUUUUGGACAAUGGGCGCAAGCCUGAUCCAGCAAUGCCGCGUGCAGGAAGAAGGCCUUCGGGUUGUAAACUGCUUUUGUACGGAACGAAAAGGUCUGGGUUAAUACCCUGGGCUCAUGACGGUACCGUAAGAAUAAGCACCGGCUAACUCCGUG